rnacentral:rRNA from 1 species
UGGGGAAUAUUGCACAAUGGGCGCAAGCCUGAUGCAGCCAUGCCGCGUGUGUGAAGAAGGCCUCGGUUGUAAAGCACUUUCAGCGAGGAGGAAGGUGGUGAGCUUAAUACGCUCAUCAAUUGACGUUACUCGCAGAAGAAGCACCGGCUAACUCCGUGCCAGCAGCCGCGGUAAUACGGAGGGUGCAAGCGUUAAUCGGAAUUACUGGGCGUAAAGCGCACGCAGGCGGUUUGUUAAGUCAGAUGUGAAAUCCCCGGGCUCAACCUGGGAACUGCAUUUGAAACUGGCAAGCUAGAGUCUCGUAGAGGGGGGCUAGAAUUCCAGGUGUAGCGGUGAAAUGCGUAGAGAUCUGGAGGAAUACCGGUGGCGAAGGCGGCCCCCUGGACGAAGACUGACGCUCAGGUGCGAAAGCGUGGGGCAGCAAACAGAUUAGAUACCCUGGUAGUCCACGCUGU